GGCAAUAUGGCGUCGUCCAUUAAGCUGACGUUAGCCAGCGGCGACUGCACGUACGUGUCUCCCGAAGGCCGAACUUGACUGAAUGGAAGCGAGAAAAAGAAGUCAGUAAAUUUCACACUUUUUUUUGUCUUUAGUUUUAAACACUCUUUGUGGUGCAGUUAAGCUUAGAUUGUUUUAUUCUUAAAUUGUGAUUGAUCUACAUACUCCCUUUGCUCUAUGUAGUAACGUUAGGUUGGAUCAGACAGUUCUCAAAUCAGUCAAAAUCAAAUCACGAAAUUCAGAAUCAGAUUUUCUGCCAUCGCGUUUUGACUGCACUGCCACUGCUGCAGCCGCAUCGUCAUCAGUCAUGAAUCUGGCCGAGAGGAAAGGCGAGAAUUCGUAUGACAACAGUCUCCUCUACGCAGGAUUCAAUCAAGACAAUGGUUGUUUUGCAUGUGGAAUGGAGUCUGGUUUCAGGGUGUAUAACUGUGACCCUCUAAAGGAGAAAGAGAGACAAGAUUUCACAGAUGGUGGAGUUGGGCAUGUUGAGAUGUUGUUUCGAUGCAACUAUCUUGCAUUGGUGGGCGGCGGCAAGAACCCUCACUAUCCUCCCAAUAAAGCUAUGAUCUGGGAUGACCUCAAGAAGAAACAUGUGAUUGAGCUAGAGUUCUCUAGUGAAGUCAAGAGUGUGCGAUUAAGAAGAGACAGGAUAGUUGUGGUCUUACAGUCUAUGAUCAAAGUCUACACAUUCACACAGAAUCCUCAGCAGCUGCAUGUCUUUGACACAUGUAUGAAUCCUAAAGGUCUCUGUGUUCUGUGCCCGAACAGCAACAAUUCAUUGCUUGCCUUCCCUGCCACAAAGACAGGCCACGUGCAGAUCAUCGAUCUCGCUCAGACGGACAAACCCCCUUUAGACAUAGCAGCACACGAGGGCGUCCUAAGCUGUUUAACAUUCAACCAUCAAGGAUCAAGAUUAGCAACAGCAUCAGACAGGGGCACGUUGAUCAGAGUUUUUGAUACAGGCAACGGACAACAACUCCAUGAGCUAAGAAGAGGAUCAGGAGGAGCUCAGAUUUACUGUAUCAACUUCAACCAGGAUUCCACCAUGCUGUGUGUGUCAAGCGACCAUGGAACCAUUCAUGUCUUCGCUCUAGAGGCAGACGCACAGAAGAACAAAAAAUCACACUUAGCAUCAGCCACUUUCCUGCCAAAGUACUUCAACUCGUCAUGGAGUUUCUGUAAAUUCCAGGUGCCCAACCACGCCCAGUGCAUCUGUGCCUUCGGUUCUGAUCCAAACUCGGUUGUAGCUAUCUGUGCGGAUGGAAGCUACUUCAAGUUCGUCUUCAACAACAAGGGAGAAUGCAGUCGAGAUGUCUACACGCGAUUCCUUGAGAUGACCGAUGACCACAGUUGAGACCCCUUCCGCUUCCUCUUGACCGGGCCGACAGCGAGUCACCUAGUCACAUGACCAGCAAUAACAAAUCAGAUGAUUUGUCCUAGAUGAAGAGGUCAUGACCAAUUUGCUGUGCUGCUGCAGCACAGAAAACAUACACGCAACAGAGAACGUUCCAUGGAGAUGCAGCUCGUUUGCAGAGCUGUUACGACGUGUGCGCUGGCCUGCGAUGCGAUUGCCCCGAGAUGGGAGCAGCAAACUUGUUCCAAUCGGAUCUUAGUGCAAUGGUGUUGCACGAUGCGCGCUGGGCUUUAUGACAAAAUUGAAUUUAUAGCACCCACAUUGCCUAGUCUGCUGUGCAAACCCUUCACUUGAGUAAAGGGUCUGAAUUGCAGCCUACUCAUGCCUUGUGUACUGUAGGCCCUCACAGCAAGUUUUGUAUGUGCUAGUCUUUGCGUGGAGACACACUUGUUGAUCAAAGUUUCAAUCAGGGUCUGUGCCUGCAGACUACACAUCGCCUGGACUUUUCAAUCCAGGGUUUCAUGGCUUAAGCAUAUGGCUUAAGCAUGAACAUUCGUAAAUAAUCAGUUGACUUUCUACAUGACAAAUUCCAGUAUUACUCAGUAUGAUAUAUACUCCAGGAUGCAUGCUAUUAAAUAGCAAAGGUUGCAGUAAAAUUUAUAAUAAUCAAACAUGAAAGAAAGAACUUUCAUAGAAAUGUAUGCUUUCUAUAAUAUCAGACAUUUACAUUUAAAAUUGCAUUUGUAAAUUAUAAUAUGACAGAGUAUGUUUGAAGGUUUCUAAUAUGCAGAUGUAAUAAUUAUAUACAUGUAGAUUCAGUACUUAGAUUAUCUUUAAUUUUAUUCUGUGAAUUGUAUUUACAUUCCCGCUCGUUUCUCGAUUUUCUUUUAAAAUAAUCACUUUCUUGUCACAUGCAGUAUUCUCGUCUUGCUAUAUAAAAGGGAAGUGUCAUUGGUGAGAGCAGGGAGUUAACUCCCUGGUAGGAGAGAUGUGAAACUUUACUCAAUUUCUGGUAAUGUUCUUGCAUGUACUAGAUAACAUGCAGUAGACUGCCUCAAAUAUGCUGCCACAACAAAGUAAGCUUCAUUUUAAAACACGACCCAUUUCUUAGUCUCUUGUAAGGCGGCACUAAAUCUGAACUUCAUUGCUGUCCUAUUUUUUUCUUUCUCAUUUUGUCUCUGUGGUGUUAAUGCCGCACAAGUCACAAUGGCGAAACCAACCCAAACCGACCAGUGGUAUGUCAGUGGAAAUAAUGUAAUAUCUUUGUCUGUUCUGGGCCAUGUCUUACAAAGAGUUGCAGUGAUCCAAUCAGUGGUGGAUCCAGGCAGGGGUACAUUCGGCCCAUUUCCACGCCCCCCCCCCCCUUUUAGAGCCAUAACAGAUAUUUGUUAGGGGAAUAUGUCCUGCUUACACAAUUAUUUGCUUGUCAAAAUUUUCACGAUAUAAGUCACCAUUAAUUGGGAGUGGAUACCUUUUUGGGGGCUUCUUAAUUUUUUCUGUACAAAAAUCCCCCCCCCCCCACCAUGCCAACAUGUAAGUCAUGUUCAAGAUGUUUCCAAGAUAUGAUGUAUACUCAUACAUUCAUUGCUGUCUUUAUAAUCCAGUUUGCUCCACUUGUUUCCAAACUAGGAAAAGUUAUGACAAUGAUGGAUUCCCAUAUAAUUGGAGUUGAUCAGUUCUCCCCCCAUAUUACAAAGAGUUGCGAUCAAUUCGAUCAACCCCAACUAUUUGGAAAUCCAUCAUUGUCAUGAUUUUUCCUCCGGGAUAUUUCCAAUAUGACCUUUGUAAACAAAGAGAAGCACACUGAAUUUUUAAGAAAAUGGUGAAUGUAUGAAUAAAGAGCAGAUCUAGAAAUUACUUUGAACAAUCAUGCAAAUAUGUAUUUGUAUGUUGACGUUGCUGGCCAUUCAUUGUUGUGGUCGAUAGGGGCCCAUCUUGCAAAGAGUUACGAUUGAUCCAAUCAAUCUCAACUAUAUGGAAAUCCAUGCCUGUCGUAAUUUUUUCCAAAGGAAAUUUGCACGAUGUCCUUUGAGAACAGAGAGAAGCAUACUGAAUUGAAAAGAAAGUGGUGAAUGUAUGAAUAUACAUAUCUACAAAACAUUUUGAAGAAACAUAUAUUUUAGAUAUUGACGUUGCUGGCUUUCCAUAGUUGUGGUUGAUUGGAUCACUCGCAACUCUUUGUAAGACGGGGCCCUGGGGUUGGUUUUGUUGAUGUGACUGAAGCAGUGGAUGAUUUCAAGUUCAGUGUUGACCUCUUGGUGUUAGUGUUAGGUCAAUUUUUACACGAGUAUAACACCAAACACAACAUGAAGAUAGUCCUGACAAGUCACUCACUAGGUGUUGAGCUGUCAAUAUUGUGAUCUGGAUCAUAAGUGUAAACUCAGAAUAGGUUUUUGGAGCUAGGAAACACGAUCCAAAAUGUGCUUCCAACACCAACACUGAACUAGAAAUCACCCAUUGUAAGGUGGUACACUUCAUUAUUAUGAACAAGGCUUUAACAAUUUUAUUCCAUCUUUGUUUAUACCAUAUUAUUACUCAAUAAGUGAGAAACCAAUAAGACUUAGCAGUAUGGAUUUAGUAUGAUAUGUACAGUAACAAUUACAAUAGAAUAUGAUUGUAAAUAUAAUAUUCAUUCAAUUAAAAAAACAUUUCUAGCAUA